AAAUCUGGCACCUUCGGUGUCCGAGUUGUAAUUUGAAGAAGGUAACUUUGGAGUUGGCUCUUGUCUAUGUUCCUUGGAACAGGACGUCACAGAGGGUGAGAAUCCCGUGCGAUGAGAUGCCCAAUUCUAUGUAAAGUGCUUUCGAAGAGUCGAGUUGUUUGGGAAUGCAGCUCUAAGUGGGUGGUAAAUUCCAUCUAAAGCUAAAUAUUGGCGAGAGACCGAUAGCGAACAAGUACAGUGAUGGAAAGAUGAAAAGAACUUUGAAAAGAGAGUGAAAAAGUACGUGAAAUUGUUGAAAGGGAAGGGCUUGAGAUCAGACUUGGUAUUUUGCAAGCCUUACCUUCGUGGUGGGGUCCCCUGCAGUUUACUGGGCCAGCAUCGGUUUGGAUGGUAGGAUAAUGACUUGGGAAUGUGACUUUGCUUCGGUAAAGUGUUAUAGCCCUUGUUGAUACUGCCUGUCUAGACCGAGGACUGCGUCUUUGACUAGGAUGCUGGCAUAAU
rnacentral:rRNA from 1 species